CCACCACCAACGGCAGCGCAAAGCAAACAGAACUAAUUCCCACGCAAUCUACCUAUACUUGCCAAUAUUAUCUUGUAUCUCAAACUACUUCUCUCCUCUAUCAUCAACCGGCAUCCGCUGUGUGAAACCACCAUACAAGUAAUUACCCCUCCAAGCCAUGUCAUACGAAGUCGAACAUUCUACUACCCCCGCCAACAACAACAACACCAAUGAUCCAUCCAACCCCC
rnacentral:sRNA from 2 species